GAUGAACGCUGGCGGCGUGCCUAAUACAUGCAAGUCGAGCGAACAGAUGAGGAGCUUGCUCCUCUGACGUUAGCGGCGGACGGGUGAGUAACACGUGGAUAACCUACCUAUAAGACUGGGAUAACUUCGGGAAACCGGAGCUAAUACCGGAUAAUAUAUUGAACCGCAUGGUUCAAUAGUGAAAGACUGUUUUGCUGUCACUUAUAGAUGGAUCCGCGCCGCAUUAGCUAGUUGGUAAGGUAACGGCUUACCAAGGCGACGAUGCGUAGCCGACCUGAGAGGGUGAUCGGCCACACUGGAACGGAGACACGGUCCAGACUCCUACGGGAGGCAGCAGUAGGGAAUCUUCCGCAAUGGGCGAAAGCUUGACGGAGCAACGCCGCGUGAGUGAUGAAGGUCUUCGGAUCGUAAAACUCUGUUAUUAGGGAAGAACAAAUGUGUAAGUAACUAUGCACGUCUUGACGGUACCUAAUCAGAAAGCCACGGCUAACUACGUG
rnacentral:rRNA from 1 species